ACCAGUAUGUUUGACAGUAAAAAGCUUCAAAUCUGUUAUGUUUGCCAUACUCAGGAAUGAUGCAAAAAUCCCAGGGCAAAACACAGGUAUUACACUCACACACACAAAGAGAGUUCUGUCUGCUAAGCAUUCUGUAACUGGCUCAUACAGUUACUACAGAGUAAAUAACAUCAGUAUGGAGGAAACAAGAGCUAUUUAAGAAGGCAGGUCCUCUGAAUAGGGUUCAAGAUGAAUUACAAUCAAGAGAAGGAGGCUUCUGAAUUCUAGGUGAAGUUUUCUAGAACAAUAAUACCAUUUCAAUUUAAAAUUUCACACAAAUAAAUUGAGACGUGUUUUAUCUUCGGGGGAUUAUGAAUUAUUCACCAGGCAAUUAUUUAUGGUAUCUUCUCAGAGGCGGAAGAGAAGGGAAACUGACAGAGAAACUACUAAAAAUGAUACUAUAGCAUAUUCUGAACUUUGGUAAUUUUGAAAAUUCUAGAAUCAAACAUACAGUGAAUUGUAAAAAGUUAUUUGAUUUCUUGCUUAGCGAAAAUAUAGCUUAAAUAUCCUCAACUAAACAUAAGUCAAAGCAACUUGCCAUUUGGAAGUUAAACUUACAAUUAAGCAAUACUGUGUUUAGUGAGAGUGUCCCAAAUUAGUAUAAGGAUAAGGGUUGAGGCAUAAGUUGGCAGGGGAGAGUAGCGGCAGUGCUCCAACAACAUAAAAUAGGCUAAAUUACACAUGACAUGAUAAUAAUACUUGGACAAAUAAAUACACAAGCAAUAAAUAAAAUUGCAAUGAUAGGCCUCAACCUCAUUACCAGGUUAGCUCGCUAAAGGCAGUUGAAAAUGUUGUGUAGGAAAAAUAAAAACAGAGAUUGUUGAAGUGAGUAGAAUACUUAAAAAGUAUCACACUCAUGUAUGCUGAUCAUGUACAAUCAGGUGAGAUUGUUCAGAUUUGUUACCAUUAAAUAUACCUUGUCCAUCA